rnacentral:rRNA from 1 species
GUGAGGAAUAUUGGUCAAUGGACGAGAGUCUGAACCAGCCAAGUAGCGUGCAGGAUGACGGCCCUAUGGGUUGUAAACUGCUUUUAUACAGGGAUAAAGUGACGUACGUGUACGUUUUUGUAGGUACUGUAUGAAUAAGGACCGGCUAAUUCCGUGCCAGCAGCCGCGGUAAUACGGAAGGUCCGGGCGUUAUCCGGAUUUAUUGGGUUUAAAGGGAGCGCAGGCUGAUGAUUAAGCGUGACGUGAAAUGUAGCCGCUCAACGGCUGAACUGCGUCGCGAACUGGUUAUCUUGAGUGAGUUCGAUGUUGGCGGAAUUCGUGGUGUAGCGGUGAAAUGCUUAGAUAUCACGAAGAACUCCGAUUGCGAAGGCAGCCAACAAGGCCUUUACUGACGCUAAAGCUCGAAGGUGCGGGUAUCGAACAGGAUUAGAAACCCGAGUAGUCC